ensembl:lncRNA
CGCGGCGCUCGACUCUGCCGCCGUUUGCCCGCUGCGAUCAGAGCCGGGCGUAGCGGCUCGGGCGGCGGCAGGCUGCGGUCCCCGCGUUCAGCAGGGCAGUCAGAGGAGAUGGCGGCGGUCCCAGCACCUGCGCGCUGCUUUCCGAGCCGUCCUCAACGUCUCCGAGCAAAGGGCUUUCCCCCCCAGGCCGCGGGCACGCAGAUGCGUUUCUGCUUCCAUACCCCUGCUAUGUGAACGUUAGGAAAGCGUUGCUUCCCCUUUCCCGUGCUGAAUGCCGCUGAGAGCCGCUGAACUAACGCAGUGGGAGGGCUGGCACAAAAAUAACAUCUCUGGCGAUGUUUGCGUCACCUGCGUGCUGCUCCCCCGGCAAAUGCUCUGCUGGCAGAUGUGCUCACAUUGUGAGGGACGCAUCUUCCUCCUGGAAACAGCAGCCACCUGCGCUUGGUGCGGAUGGCCCAGGCUGAAUCCUUCUCAGCAGUGGCGGUGGACAUCUGCUCAGUGCUGCCGUGCUGUCCCUCCAGGCAUCCUGGAGCGAUGCGUUUGUACUGAGGUCUCCACAGGAUCACAGCAUGUCAGGGAUUGGAAGGGACCUCGAAAGAUCAUCCCACCCUGCACAGAACGUCUUAACAUUGCUGGCUUUAUGCGGUUGCUCUGAUAUUUACUGCAUUUUAUUUCUGUCUUAAACAACUGCUGUAGAUGAACCAGUGUGAGGAGGUGGAGCCAGUGUUAGGAAGGCACGCUGCUUCGACAAAGCUGGAGGUAAGAACAACAGCAGGAGGGACACAGACCAGCCUUGCAAUCAGAGUGCUUACAGAGAGACAGAGGACAGAAGAAUUUUGGGUCUGAGCUUUGCCAGACAGAUCCUCACUUUGCAUUUUGAAUCUGACACCCCAGGGGCUUUAUAUUUUCCCUGUGUCCAUCUGCUGACAGGAGGAGUUUCAGCUAGUGUUUGGGCUUGCAUUUUAGGGCAUGUGGAGAAACAAAUUAGCAGUUGCCGCCGGGACAGUAUUUUGCCUUCAACUUCAAUGCCUGAGCUUAUACACUUCAGCAGAAGUUUCAAAUGUUACAGCAAAAUGUGCCGUAACUGCAUCAGUAGUCAAGGGAAGAGCCACCGAUGUCAUCUAUCUGGACUUCAGUAAGACCUUUGACACAGUCCCCCAUAACAUCCUUCUCUCCAAAUUGGAAGGAUAUGGAUUCGACAAGUGGACUGUUCAGUGGAUGAAAAACUGGUUACAAGAUUGUACCCAGAGAGUUGUGUUCAGUGGCUCGAUGUCUGGAUGGAGACCAGUGGCAAGUGGUGUCCCUCAGGAGUCAGUACUGGGACUAGUGCUCUUUAACAUCUUCAUCAAUGGCAUCAACAGUGGGAUCGAGUGUACUCUCAGCAAGGCUAUAGAUGAUACCAAGCUGUGUGAUGCAGUUGACACAUUCAAGGAACAGGAUGCCAGCCGGAGAAACCUAUGUAAGACCAAGCAGUGGGCCCAGGUGAACCUCAUGAGGUUCAAUAAAUUGAAGUGCAAGGUCUUGCACCUGCAUUAUGGCAAAUCCUACUAUGGGAACAAGCUGGGGGAUAUAAGGAUGGUGCACAACUCUGCCAAAAAGGACUUGAGGUGGAUGGCAAGCUGGACAUAAGCCAGCAAUGUACCCUUGCAGCGCAGAAAGCCAACCAUAUCCUGAGCUGCAUGUACAAUAAACAAAUGUACAGUUGGAAGAAUAGCACAGUUAGGAUGGUACUCCACAGGUGUAUAGUUGGAAAGAUUAUCAUGGUGGAAAAGAGACAGUCAAAGAAGAAAUGCUCACCCAUAUCCAAGAAUCCAGGCUCACAGUGGAAAACUCCAAAAAGGAGAGAUCUCCAGAAAGAGAUCCUUCCCCAGUGGAAGUCAGCCCUUAAAUUGGGUCUAGGAGAGGUGGAGCCAGGCUCCACCCCUUCCAGUCACUCAGGUGAAUUGCCUUCACUUGUGCUCCCACAGCUGACUCAGUCCUUUCCUCAGGUGCUCAAUCAGUGUUUCAGGCCGAACAGUUCCCAUCCACUCCACCCCUUCAUAG